UCUAUAUCACGUUGAAACACGGGUUCUCAUAUGAUCACAGAAGCUAAGCAAUGGUGAGUCUGAUCAGUAUCUAGAUAGGUGAUCGCUUGGGAAUACCAGGUGCUGCAAU